ACCUGAGCUACAUGAAGUGUUCUUGGCUCCCUGGAAGGAAUACCAGUCCCGACACUAACUAUACUCUCUACUAUUGGCACAGAAGCCUGGAAAAAAUUCAUCAAUGUGAAAACAUCUAUAGAGAAGGCCAAUACUUUGGUUGUUCCUUUGAUCUGACCAAAGUGAAGGAUUCCAGUUUUGAACAACACAGUGUCCAAAUAAUGGUCAAGGAUAAUGCAGGAAAAAUUAAACCAUCCUUCAAUAUAGUGCCUUUAACUUCCCGUGGUCCAACCUCUCCAUACUGCCACAUUGGGGAUGAAGUUUCAACAUGAGUUUGGGAGAAGAUAAACAUUCAAAUCAUAGCAGGAACCCAGGCCAUCUGACUCUAAGUGAAACCUGAUCCUCCACAUAUUAAAAACCUCUCCUUCCACAAUGAUGACCUAUAUGUGCAAUGGGAGAAUCCACAGAAUUUUAUUAGCAGAUGCCUAUUUUAUGAAGUAGAAGUCAAUAACAGCCAAACUGAGACACAUAAUGUUUUCUACGUCCAAGAGGCUAAAUGUGAGAAUCCAGAAUUUGAGAGAAAUGUGGAGAAUACAUCUUGUUUCAUGGUCCCUGGUGUUCUUCCUGAUACUUUGAACACAGUC
rnacentral:sRNA from 1 species